CUACGGGGCGCAGCAGUGGGGAAUAUUGGACAAUGGGGGAAACCCUGAUCCAGCAAUGCCGCGUGUGUGAAGAAGGCCUGCGGGUUGUAAAGCACUUUCGGUUGGGAGGACUGCUUCUAGCACUAAUAUUGUUGGAAGUUGACGUUACCUUCAGAAGAAGCACCGGCUAACUCCGUGCCAGCAGCCGCGGUAAUACGGAGGGGUGCAAGCGUUAAUCGGAAUUACUGGGCGUAAAGCGCGCGUAGGCGGCUAGAUCAGUCGGGUGUGAAAGCCCCGGGCUUAACCUGGGAACUGCAUCCGAUACUGUCUAGCUUGAGUACAGGAGAGGAGAGUGGAAUUCCACAUGUAGCGGUGAAAUGCGUAGAUAUGUGGAGGAACACCAAUGGCGAAGGCAGCUCUCUGGCCUGAUACUGACGCUGAGGUGCGAAAGCGUGGGGAGCAAACAGGAUUAGAUAACCCGAGUAGUC
rnacentral:rRNA from 1 species